GGGGAAAGCCCCACUUUUACAGGGCGGGGUGCCGGGUAACGCCGGGGGGGAAACCCCACGACCAGUGAAACAGAGAGAAAACCGCCGAUGGCCCGCGCAAGCGGGAUCAGGUAAGGGUGAAAGGGUGCGGUAAGAGCGCACCGCGCGGCUGGUAACAGUCCGUGGCACGGUAAACUCCACCCGGAGCAAGGCCAAAUAGGGGUUCAUAAGGUACGGCCCGUACUGAACCCGGGUAGGCUGCUUGAGCCAGUGAGCGAUUGCUGGCCUAGAUGAAU
rnacentral:RNase_P_RNA from 1 species